AGCCCCUUAGCCCAACGGGAGAGGCUGCUGUCUUAGAAACAGUAUAGUGUGAGUUCGAAUCUCACAGGGGUUA
rfam:Niastella yeongjuensis strain 17621 contig2, whole genome shotgun sequence.